rnacentral:snRNA from 1 species
CACUUUUCCCUCACGCAAUAUCAUAGCCAAUGAGGUUAAUCUGAGGCAUGAUUAUUGCUAGUUAAACUAAAAUUUAAUUUGCAUGAAAACUUGGAUGAACUUCUCUGAAUUCCAAAGGUU